UUCGGAAGGGAUGUGUUUAUUAGAUAAAAAACCAAUGCCCUUCGGGGCUUUUUGGUGAUUCAUGAUAACUUUACGGAUCGCAUAGCCUUGCGCUGGCGACGGUUCAUUCAAAUUUCUGCCCUAUCAACUUUCGAUGGUAAGGUAUUGGCUUACCAUGGUUUCAACGGGUAACGGGGAAUUAGGGUUCGAUUCCGGAGAGGGAGCCUGAGAAACGGCUACCACAUCCAAGGAAGGCAGCAGGCGCGCAAAUUACCCAAUCCCGACACGGGGAGGUAGUGACAAUAAAUACUGAUACAGGGCUCUUUUGGGUCUUGUAAUUGGAAUGAGUACAAUUUAAACCUCUUAACGAGGAACAAUUGGAGGGCAAGUCUGGUGCCAGCAGCCGCGGUAAUUCCAGCUCCAAUAGCGUAUAUUAAAGUUGUUGCAGUUAAAAAGCUCGUAGUUGAAACUUGGGCCUGGCUGGCGGGUCCGCCUCACCGCGUGCACUCGUCCGGCCGGGCCUUCCUUCUGAAGAACCUCAUGCCCUUCACUGGGCGUGCUGGGGAAUCAGGACUUUUACUUUGAAAAAAUUAGAGUGUUCAAAGCAGGCCUUUGCUCGAAUACGUUAGCAUGGAAUAAUAAAAUAGGGCGUGCGUUUCUAUUUUGUUGGUUUCUAGAGACGCCGCAAUGAUUAACAGGAACAGUCGGGGGCAUCAGUAUUCAGUUGUCAGAGGUGAAAUUCUUGGAUUUACUGAAGACUAACUACUGCGAAAGCAUUUGCCAAGGAUGUUUUCAUUAAUCAGUGAACGAAAGUUAGGGGAUCGAAGACGAUCAGAUACCGUCGUAGUCUUAACCGUAAACUAUGCCGACUAGGGAUCGGGCGAUGUUCUUUUUCUGACUCGCUCGGCACCUUACGAGAAAUCAAAGU
rnacentral:rRNA from 1 species